rnacentral:rRNA from 1 species
UACGGAGGGUGCGAGCGUUGUCCGGAAUCACUGGGCGUAAAGGGCGCGUAGGUGGCCCGUUAAGUGGCUGGUGAAAUCCCGCGGCUCAACUGCAGGGCUGCCGGUCAUACUGGCGAGCUAGAGCACGGUAGGGGCAGAUGGAAUUCCCGGUGUAGCGGUGGAAUGCGUAGAGAUCGGGAAGAAUACCAGUGGCGAAGGCGUUCUGCUGGGCCGUUGCUGACACUGAGGCGCGACAGCGUGGGGAGCAAACAGG